CAAACCUCAAUCCAGUAGGUCAUGUAUGGGACAAGCAAUGAAUGAUACAGCGUAACCAAUGAAUGCUGGGAGAGGAAGUAUUGUGCUUUGUACAGAAUUGUGAUAACUUUUGAGAUUUUGGAUUUAGCAUAAUUUAUAUGAGUUUUCCAACUUAAUUUAUCAUUAAUAAAAACUCUAAGAAACUUAAUUUAUUUACUUAAAGCAAAAAGAAACUU